rnacentral:tRNA from 1 species
GCCCUCGUAGCUCAGCGGAUAGAGCUCCCGCCUUCUAAGCGGGAUGUCGCAGGUUCGAACCCUGCCGGGGGCACCA